AGAUCACAAAUAUCACUCAAAUACAUCACAAUUCAAUCUUAAUUUAAUUCUAGUUAAAACUCUUAUUGAACUUCAUUCAAAUUUUAGGCCAAACCUAAUUAAAUCUUAAAUCCUAAUAAAAUCCUUAACUCUAAAUCAAACCCUAAAAAAAUCUUAAACCAAAUCCCAACCAAAUCUUAAACCAAAUCCUAACUAAAUCCUAAACCAAAUCCUAAUCCAAAUCCUAAACCCUAAACCAAACCCUAAUCCAAAUCCUAAAUAAAAUCUUAACCAAAUCCUAAUACAAACCCUAAAUCCUAAACCAAAUCCUAAUCAAAUCCUAAACCCUAAAUCAAAUCCUAACCAAACUCUAAAUCUUAAAUCAAACCCUAAAUAAAUCUUAAACCAAACCUCAACCAAAUCUUAAACCAAAUCCUAACCAAACCAUAACCAAAUCCUAAAUCAAACCCUAAUCCAAAUCCUAAUACAAAUCCUAAAUCCUAAACCAAAUCCUAAUCAAAUCCUAAACCCUAAAUCAAAUCCUAAUCAAAUCCUAAAUC
rnacentral:lncRNA from 1 species